rnacentral:tRNA from 1 species
GGUCCGUUGGUCAAGGGGUUAAGACACCGCCUUUUCACGGCGGUAACACGGGUUCGAAUCCCGUACGCGUCA